rnacentral:rRNA from 1 species
CCUACGGGAGGCAGCAGUGGGGAAUAUUGCACAAUGGGCGAAAGCCUGAUGCAGCAACGCCGCGUGAAGGAAGAAGGGAUUCGGCUCGUAAACUUCUAUCAACAGGGACGAAAGACUUGACUGUACCUGAAUAAGAAGCCCCGGCUAACUACGUCCCAGCGGCCGCGGUAAUACGUAGGGGGCAAGCGUUAGCCGGACUCACUGGGUGCAAAGGGUGAGUAGGCGGCAUGGUAAGCCAGAUGUGAAAGCCUUGGGCUUAACCGGGGGAUUGCUUUUGGAACUAGCAAACUAGAGUACAGGAGGGGUAAGCGGAAUUCCUAGUGUAGCGGUGAAAUGCGUAGAUAUUAGGAAGAACACCGGUGGCGAAGGCGGCUUACUGGACUGAAACUGACGCUGAGGCACGAAAGCGUGGGGAGCGAACAGGAUUAGAUACCCGUGUAGUC